ensembl:snoRNA
AGCCAGUGAUGAAAAGAUUCUGCCAUAUGAUUACACUGCUUAUACUCCAACCGGUCCAUUUAUUUCUGGGGGU